rnacentral:rRNA from 1 species
UACGUAGGCAGCAAGCGUUGUUCGGAGUUACUGGGCGUAAAGAGUGUGUAGGCGGUUCGCUAAGUUUGGUGUGAAAUCUCCCGGCUUAACUGGGAGGGUGCGCCGAAAACUGGUGGGCUAGAGUGUGGGAGAGGGAAGCGGAAUUACCUGGUGUAGCGGUGAAAUGCGUAGAUAUCAGGAGGAACACCUGUGGUGUAGACGGCUUCCUGGACCACAACUGACGCUGAGACACGAAAGCGUGGGGAGCAAACAGG